rnacentral:rRNA from 1 species
AUUGAACGCUGGCGGCAGGCCUAACACAUGCAAGUCGAGCGGAUGAAGGGAGCUUGCUCCUGGAUUCAGCGGCGGACGGGUGAGUAAUGCCUAGGAAUCUGCCUGGUAGUGGGGGAUAACGUCCGGAAACGGGCGCUAAUACCUCAUACGUCCUGAGGGAGAAAGUGGGGGAUCUUCGGACCUCACGCUAUCAGCUGAGCCUAGGUCGGAUUAGCUAGUUGGUGGGGUAAAGGCCUACCAAGGCGACGAUCCGUAACUGGUCUGAGAGGAUGAUCAGUCACACUGGAACUGAGACACGGCCCAGACUCCUACGGGAGGCAGCAGUGGGGAAUAUUGGACAAUGGGCGAAAGCCUGAUCCAGCCAUGCCGCGUGUGUGAAGAAGGUCUUCGGAUUGUAAAGCACUUUAAGUUGGGAGGAAGGGCAGUAAGUUAAUACCUUGCUGUUUUGACGUUACCAACAGAAUAAGCACCGGCUAACCUCGUG